rnacentral:rRNA from 1 species
UAGCCUUGACAUUGAAGAAAUAGACCAGAGAUGGACUAGUGCCCUUCGGGGAAUCUGAAAACAGGUGCUGCACGGCUGUCGUCAGCUCGUGUCGUGAGAUGUUGGGUUAAGUCCCGCAACGAGCGCAACCCUCGUCCUUAGUUGCCAGCAGGUUAAGCUGGGCACUUUAAGGAGACUGCCUUCGCAAGGAGGAGGAAGGUGAGGACGACGUCAAGUCAUCAUGGCCCUUAUGGCUAGGGCUACACACGUGCUACAAUGGGGCGUACAGAGAGUUGCGAUACCGCGAGGUGGAGCCAAUCUCAUAAAGCGUCUCUCAGUUCGGAUUGAAGUCUGCAACUCGACUUCAUGAAGCUGGAAUCACUAGUAAUCGUAGAUCAGCAAUGCUACGGUGAAUACGUUCCCGGGUCU